rnacentral:lncRNA from 1 species
UUGCAAAUUUGUUGUAUAUAUUUCAUUUCAGUAGCACAUCACAUGAAUUACAAUACAUCAUCUAUCGACUCCUCUACACAUAAAGGUUUAAGGCCCAACAAGUGCACAACAAAAUAGUUCUACAAGUGCAGGUGCACAACAAAAGGGCUCAACAAGUGCAUAAUCACACAUCAACAUAGUUCGACAAAGAUUGGAUGAG